rnacentral:sRNA from 1 species
CAUUAACGCAUCUCAUCGGGGUUUCGGUGGCCCUGCUCCGGUUCAGGCCGUGCAGAGCGGGCCCCGUUCCCUGAAAAACCACAAACCCACCGUGCACCUUUCGUGGCAGAGGGUGCGGCGCGAGCCUAGCCCAAAGCUGCGGUCUCACAGACACUGUAAUCGAACGUCGAGCGGACAAUGUUCCGCCCAUGAACUUAACAACUUUCAACAACGGAUCUCUUGGCUCUCGCAUCGAUGAAGAACGCAGCGAAAUGCGAUAAGUAAUGUGAAUUGCAGAAUUCAGUGAAUCAUCGAAUCUUUGAACGCACCUUGCGCUCCUUGGUAUUCCGAGGAGCAUGCCUGUUUGAGUGUCUUGAAAUCAUCAAACCCCUGCACUUUUGUGCUGGGUUUGGAGCCUGGGGGCCUGCUGCCGAAGAGGUGGCUCCCCUCAAAUGCAUCGGUUGGGCCUAGGGGGUCGAACUUGACUGGGCGUUGUACCAUCCUCGCUCUAGUGGACAGACCCCGUGCCCGAGCCAGACCGCCCGCGGGGUGGCGGUCAGACAUGUAACUUGAAAUCUGACCUCAAAUCAGGUAG